UUUCCCCUGGCAUGAUCACUGAUACACUUGCAUGUUGCCUUGGAGGCAAUCUGCUCUUCUGCAUCUCUGCCAAGGUUUGACAAGCUGUGUCCUUGCCAAGGCUCAGAGCCUUGUCGUCUUGAGUCUAGGCUUCCUAGGUUCAUCAUGGCACUGUGCUUCCUGCAAUCUUGCUACCCUCCAUGAUUUUAGCAAGCGAACGGGAUAUAAAUUCCGAAUUCUCACAAAACCUGCAAUUACCUUCUCAUUUGGAAUCCAGGGACUCUCUUUCUCCCAAGGGCUGCUACCAACUUCUCUUCUCUGAAAGAAUCCUUCGUAAUCUCUGCUUGAAAGCCUUUAAAAAAGUAUCAAAAGUCAGAAGCUGUUGGACUCAGACGUGGAGUACAAGUGAACCACAUAAGAGGAAAAUAUCGGGCUACGUUGAAAGAGGCAUCUCCAAGUACACAGAAAUGAGGGUAAAACAUUAAUGAUGACUACUCUUUUAGAGAAAACUGGAAGCAAACAAAAGAUGCGUGUCUUAGGCUGGCUACCUGAUGUAGAGAAACAGAAACAAUAGGAAAGAGAGAGGAGAGAGAGAGAGAGAGAGACAGAGAGAGAAAAAUUUUUAAGGAAUUGACUCAAGUGAUCAUGGAGGCUUGCAAAUUCAAAAUCUACAGGGUCAGUUUAUAGGCUGGAGACCCAGGGCAGAGCCAAUGUUGCAGUUCCAGUCCAAAGGCCAACUUCUAGAAAGAUUUAUUCAUGUAGGAGGAAGAGGGUGCCGGGGGAGUCUUAUUCCAUUCAGGUCUUUAACUGAUUGGAUGAGGCUUACCUACAUUACAUAGAGCAAUCUGUUUUACUCAAAGUUCACCGAUUUAAAUGUAACCCUCAUCCAAAAAAUAUCCUCACAGAAACUUUCAGAAUAAUGUUUGAUCAAAUUUCUGGGUACAGUUACCCUACCAAGUUGAUACAUAAAAUUAACCAUCACACCUAGCAUAUGCCCAGUUGUGCUUCUGUUACCUGUGACAAAUCCAUACGGGUCUGCAGCAACCUCAAUUCUUGCCUCCUCAGAAGAAAGAAUUGAACUGAGGGGCAUGAGGCAGAAGAAGAGAUGGAGGCCAGUUUUACAGCAGGCGUGGAAGUUUAUUAAAAAGCUUUAGAGCAAGAAUGAAAAGAAAGUAAAGUACUCCAAGUAGGCAUUUUGGAAGUCAAGUGUGGAAUUUAACCUUUUGACUUGGAGUUUUAUAUGCCGGCAUACUUCUAGUGUCUUGCAUCCCAUUUCCUUUGAUUCUUCUCUUAGGGUAAUCUGCCUGCAUGCAUGGUGGCCUGCUAGUACUUGAGAGGUGAGCAUGAGCAGUGUGUUUACUGGAGUUAUACACAUACUCGUCUGAGGUGUUCUUCCCUCUUCCAGUGAAAUGUCCCCAGAAGGUCAUAUACCAGUUAAACCCCACCAUUUUGCCUCUUAAUACACAUGCUCAAGCCCACUCACACAAUUCCUGAAAUCUUAUUGGGAAGCUGCCCAUCACCAGUUACAGGCAUUUUUGUCUAUUGGGAAACUGCCUUGCCCUGGCUCUGGCUACAACCAAUUAUUAUUUUAGAGAGGUAGUGUGACAAUCACCUGACACCUCACCAUCACCUGAUGGUUGCCUGACAUUCCUGGUGGAGUAGGGGGAGGCGUCUCCUGCCCCACUCAUACCUGGGUAGCUACGUACUGUAACACUUCUGCCAAACCUAUCUCUUACUCUCUCCUUUCUGUUGUGCCCCAGCCAAAAUUCAAGGAGGAAGAAUAUCUGCUCGUAGAUGGAUUUUAGGGUCAAAAUGUAAAAUGAUUUAUAGGAGACAACUUUAUAUACCAGAGGGACAACAUGAGGAUCCACACACCCUAAAGCUUUAUUUAUUGUUAGAAUUUUUUUUAAGUGGGAAGAGAAGCUACAUAUAGAAUAGCACAGGAUCGAAAAAGGUUACCCCAGCGUCUUGAAUAUUGUAGCUGCUAAAUAAAUGUUAGUUCCCGUGGAAAAAAUAUUUAUCUAUCAAAAUAUAGAUAUCUGUAAAAAAUGAAGUUUCUGAUUCAUAUCUAAUGGUUCGCCUGCUGUUAUAGCUUUUAAAUCAGAGCUAGAUUAUGUAAUGCCUUUUGUGUAGUUGGAAGAGCUUGGGAGAGUUAAGUAUGGGGAAAAGCAUGGGCAGAGAUGAGCAGAUACUAUCCGUCAAAGUUUUGAGUACUAGAACAAUAACGCAUAAUAAAAUAAAUUUUCUCUGUACAAAUUUAUGUUCUUUCACCUGUGAGUUAUUUUCUGUGUUUACGCAUGGUAAUUUACUGAGAAAAAAUGACAUCAAGACUUCUUAAAAUGUGUUAUGGAUGGAUAAUGAUUUUAAAAGCAGAGAAAAUAUAUGUAAUCAUUGAACGGGUGUCUGCUUGCAAAAAGAAGUAAAUAAACAUUUAAAAACAAUUCAUCAGAAUGAGUUUUACUUCUAAAAUAUGGUGGACAAUAUACUCUGUGGAUACUUAGUACAAAUUCAUUUGAAAGGCAUCUUAGGUCUUUUACUCAGUGAUCAACUGCUGUGUCUUUAUUUUUAUUUUAGAAAGCCAAAAAGAGAGAGACUAUAAUUACUCCGAAUAAUACAGACCAAUAUUCAGCUAUUCAUUGCAUUUUAUAGCUCUGUGUGACAAUAAAUAUAUGUUUAUAUUAGUUCCUUAUUUUAAUCCUUCAUUUGGGCAACAAGGGAUUGCUAUAUUAUUAGCUUUUUGUGUAAUGUGAUCUGCAUAGGGAACAUCUUUUACCUAUCUAAGACCAUACUGGCAAUAGAUUGAGAAUCCAGAUGACUGGAAUCUAUGAGACUUAUUCAAGAUAUUGCUUUGAUGGUUUAUAGUGGGUUUUGACUUAGGUCAAAUAAGAUACAAUGUUCAAUUUGAAACUAUCAGCAUAUUUGUAUUUCAUAUGUAACCACAUACUCUAAUAUUGAGAGUAACUUGAGAUUAGCAUGAUGUUUUAGCCACAGGACUCUGGAAUACCAAAAUCCUUCUCUAGAAAAAUACCUCUCACAAUUUUCUGGAAAGAGAUAAGUGAUGAUGACAAUGACCAGCUAAACAAAAUAACACUUUAUUAAAAAUUGAGUCUUUGCUACUCCAAAAGCCACUGACAAAGUCUGGUAAAUUGUGCUGGGAUUCAACAGAACUCAUGCCUAAGUGAUAUACAAGAGUGACCAUCAUCCUGUUGAGCUGACAUUUAGAAAGAAUCACUCCUAUAGAACAAAAGCUGUAUCUGCUAGCUCUGAAAGACAUGGAGGCAAGGAAGCAGAAAAGAGUUUUUGCUCCAUUUGCCCAGCACUGAGUUAGCCUAGACCACUUGCUGUAGACCUUCAAAGAUCAAGGCAAGGUCUCCUGCUGUGCAGGAGGGUGGAAGAAAAAAAAAAGUGUGUGUGUGUGUGUGUGUGUGUGUGUGUGUGUGUGUGAAAGAGAGAGAGAGAGUCAGAGAUAGACAGAAAGCUGGUACCCUUACCACUUUUCAAGUGUGGAAGAAGGAAAACUGGGGAAAGCAAAAUCAAAGCCCUCUUGAAAACUCCAGCUGUAGAAAACUCAGCAUGUCAGCAAUCAGUGGCCAAGCAGUUCAGCUCUAGCUCCUUAGAUGGAAGGAGAAGGAGAGGAAGGAUAGAACUGCUGACUAGUGAACUGAUUUGGUCAUGGGAAGUGGGUAGAAAAGAAGCCCAGAACAACCUCAGGGCUAACAUCUGUCCCAUAGAUAAGUUCAUGAUUCCAUGAGAUUUUUGGUUUUCACAAAGUAUUUUUUCAGCCAUAUAAUGUUUAUUUCUUUAGACUCAUGACAUACAUUUUUUUAAAGUUU
rnacentral:lncRNA from 1 species